CAAUAAGUUAUAGAAACUUCUUUCUAUAAUUUACCAUCACUUAACAUAAUAAGUUAUGAAAUUUCAACUUAAUUUAAUGAGUUAUCACUAUUUCAACUCAGGUUUGUAAGCCAGUUCAGUGAAAUGUAAAUUUCAAUGUGUCAGUUUAAUUUAUAAGUGUGAGUUGGAAUAUGGUAACCGGAUCUCUUAAAAAGUGACCAUGACCCCGGUGUGGCGACAGUAUUAAUGCGCGGUGCAAAUAGUCCUGAAUAUUUUAUCUUGAUCUGAUAUACGACUAAUAUCUAUGCUGAUUGAUUUUUGUAACACAUUAAUGAGGCGUACCACCCAAUUGCAAUUCCCCAUUGAGAGAAGAAGAGGAACGCAAAUUAAGCCUACUGACAAUGGUGAGCAGGUAAGCAGCGGAUGAAUACGUUUUUUCCAGAAAGAUCUGGAUGAGAUUUGGCAGCGGAAAAGCGGGUCUUUUCGGAUUGGAGCAAGAGAAGCAAGGUGAGUCUGUCAUUUAUAAUAAUUGUAACCCAAUUCAAUGAGUCAAUUAACUUAACGUUAGUUAUGAAGAAACGAAUCGCUGUCAUGAAACUUUCUGAACACAGGAUAGUUCAGAGCAGCUUAUUAAUGCAUGUAACGUUAGUGUUGAGCAGUGAACCCAACUUUACAGUGUUUAACGUAAAUGUUAGUCCGAAUGUCACUUUUUACUUUUAUUAAGAAGAAACACAAGCAGAAUCUUUUAUGACAUUCACCCCUCAAAAAAAGGACAGUUAUGGCGCUUGGUAGUUGUUUGAAUGUUUGAGUUAGCUGCUUUAUAGAGUGUCAGUAAUUAACUUGGCCCGUGCCAACGAUGUGUGGAGUGGAGUCGACGUUUCAGUAAUUAGCCGUGGCUCGUAACGUUACCAACGUUGUUUCAGUAAUUAGACAUGGCCUGAUCCAACGAUGUGGGUGGAGAAGCGUCGGCAUUUCAGAAAUUAGCCUUGACCAGGUGAGUUGCUACUUAACUUAAUGUUAGCUGCUUCAGCAAAAUUAAGAGGAUUUGGGCAUUCUUAACAUUAUUAGCUAAUCUGUGACGAGUUUCUUUUGCAAUGUUAUUCGCUUAUUAGUGACUUUAUACUCAGCUCCAGCUUAACCUGCCAAUUAAAAAAAAAAAAAAAAAAACAGCGGGAGGAAGGUAAACUUUACUGGCGCCAUCGUGUGUUUCACGAUCUCACUGUGAAGUAGGACUGUGGAAUUAGACGCGCUGUGAGAAGAGCAGAGAGAGAGCUGAGCAGGUGAAGAUAUCUGUAUUAGUUGAUUUUGACCUUUUUUUGAAAGAGUGCGGUGACGUUAAAACCGCAGCCUCUGAUCUGCCGCAUCUGUUUUAACAGGCAGUGGCGAGUUGUUAAAUCAGUGUUUCCCAUAUGUAAUUUAUUUGUGGCGCCACAAUAUCAACGCAGACUGCCACAUAUUGAUAAUCGUUAAUUUUUUUUACUAGGCCUAUUUAAAAUCUAAAAUUUGAUUGCAUUGGCGCAGCACAUUCUUGCUCCCUUUCCCUCAUGAACACAGCUGCACAAAUCAGUGUUGGAGACCCAGCUUAAACAGUUAUUAGCAAGCAUGUAAGGAGCCUAGCUAGAUUUUACAGGCAUAGAUACCAGUCCCCUAAAAAUGAUAAUCUGUUUAUUAGUUUUUGCAUAGUUCUGCAAACUAACAGAUGGACAGGGUCAGGCAUGAAAACAUAACCUCCUUGGUGAAGGUAAAAAUCAAAAUCGAUCACAUAAAAAAUAAAUCGCCAAAGCAUCAAAUGAUAGGUUAAAAAGAAAAUGCACAAUUAAUGUUUGUAAUAUCAAGAAAUUGUCAAUAUUUGCCUUGUCUAUGUUUGUGAAAGGUGGUAGAAGUGUGUGUUGAAGUUGUGUUAUAACCUCUCCUAAAUAGGAGUACCUUUUUCGUAUAAUUGUGUACAGAUUGUUUUCGUCAUGUUUUGAGUUCAAAUGGCUAAGGCUUUAACACUUUAUUCAGUUAAUGUACUGUAUGUUUUGGCAGUAAAACAGUAGUGAGUCACUACAAAGACAGUCGUGGACGUGAAAGACGGGGCUUGAGCUGCAUUUACCCAAACUGUCUGACAGUCCUCCAAUCCCAUGUGGAUUUUGCAAAACAUAUAAAGGAGCACAAAAAAGGAUCAAAUCCUGUUGCUAAAAUACACUGUGAACUUUGUACUUUUUCAGCUCCAACCAAUAUCAAGCAAUAUUUUCUUCAUCUAAAGAGACAUUUGAGAAAUCGAGAGACUGUCAUUCAGACCGUCAGUCAUUUGUAAACGAUGAAGGGGAUGAUUUAGUGUCACCAGAUUUACUGUUGCCAGAACCUGUAUUUCAGCCUGUACAAAAGUCCAUUCAUAGGCGGAUUGCAUUCCUUUUAAUUAGGCUGCAAGCAGUCCUUCAUGUGUCAAAGUCAGCAAUUCAAGAAAUUGUGGAUGACUUACUUGAUAUUCGUGAAGGUGCUGGACAAAUAACAAGGCAGGCAAUUGAAAAUAUUUUGACAGUGCAUAAUUGCACAUCUGAGGAAUUGACAUCAUCGUUGACUGAAGCAUUACAGAGUUCAAACCCACUCACUUUGCUUUCAAGAGAGGGACCUCUAGGCACAGAAUAUAAAAGGCAGUCAUUUUAUAGACAAAACUUUUCUGUCAUUGAAUCUGUUGAAUAUGUUUUGAGUACACAAAGGUCUCAUACUGUUUAUGUCCCUAUUCUAAAAUUACUUUCUGAUCUACUCAAAAGAGAAGAAAUACUGCAUGUAUUGAGAGUAAACAAACCAGUUGAACAGUCUGGUCACUACAGGUCAUGUCUGGAUGGUGACUACUUUAAAAGUAAUCCAGUUCUCUCAGGUCAAGAUUUUAGUUUAUGCAUAACCUUGUACAUUGACGACUUUGAAAUUUGUAAUCCCUUGGGGACCUCCAGGAAAAAACACAAAGUCUGUGGUGUGUAUUGGACUCUUGCCAAUUUGCCAAGAAGAUGUAAGUCAUCACUUUCAUCAAUCUACCUAGCUUUACUGUGCAAGACUGAACAUAUCAAGAUUUAUGGGUAUAGUAGUGUUUUACAUCGUACUAUGUGGAGCAUCUACGGAGUUACCAUCUUGUGAGGAAAAGUCCUACUACAUGUCUGUUGGUGAAACCAGAGGAUCUCAAUGACUACGUGCCACAGGUGUCAUACUUCAUUCAAGGCUACCUUUUGGUCACUCCCAAGACAUUCUUGCUGAAAUAAACCCACUGUAAGUAAUUAUACUGUUAUUAGGGCUGAGCAAUUUUGAAAAAUGUGUAAUUGUGAUAAUUUUGACUGAUACAACUAAUUGAAUUUGUGUUCGAGGGAAUGAUCAUUUUUCAUCGGAAAAAAUAUAAAUUGUAGUGUUAUUUUGUUUGUUUGUUUUGUUUUUUUGGCGUGGAACUGCAAAAUAUUAAACACCUCAAUAUAAUGCAGCUCAAUACACUUUCACACAACUAUGCCCUAAAACAUAAUUGAAUUUACACCUUUUAGUACAAACUAGCUACAACCCACACGUGCAAAAGACCAAUAACACAAAUAUCACACACAGCUUACUAAUUUUACAUAAUUAAACAUGGAGCCCAUUGAAUUCAGUUUCGAAAGUUUCCUUUUUACGAGGAUCUGCAGUUGAGCAAGAUCAUUUGUGAGCGCAUAAUAAAACUAAUAAAAGGAUAAAGAGAGCCAUAUUUUUAGUUGUGGCUUGUUGUCGAACAAUGGCUACUACCAGAGACAGUUUAUAGGAGACAUGCCACAAAUCCUCAAUACAGCUCUAUGGGGAAAGCCCAUAAUGGCAACGAUGGCGGUUAUCCCGCCCCUCCCGCUAGAAAGCCAAUCGUCUGCUUUUAACAACCAAAGCGGAAACCUAUUUCAGCCAAUCGUAGGAGCCUGGUCUUGUUAGUCGAAAUAGCUCCCCAGAGCAGUUACCAAGAUGGCGGCCGAGUGGCAGGACUUGCCUAAAAGGACUUUUGCUACUACAUAGUGUGCAGAUUUGGAGUUGUAACCACAGUGAUGAGAUUGUGACCUGAAUGGCUUUGUAGAAACAAAUUGCACUGAAAAUGUCUGCAUAUUGAAAGCUACUUUUAACUACAACUGUUAGUGCCUCAAGGCAACAGUUUCAGUUCAGGUGACCCAUCUCUUUGACUUCAGAUUGACAGUUUAGACUGAGGUUGCAUUGCGAAAAAUCGUGCCAGUAUCAGAUUUAAGACCAAAUAUGGAACUGGCCAAACUCAGAAUAGAAAAUAUCAGAUUCCAUGUUCUGUUCACUGAUACUUAAAAAAUGUGGGAAUAAUUUUUUAAGGAUAGAUGUGUGUGUGACGGGGACUGAUAUGAAGAGGUUAUAGUAAACAUUUAUACUUGACGAUGUAUUUUUAUCUCUUUUCAGGUAAAAGUAGUCUACAAUGCUGCUGCGUGUCAUCAUAUCAGAAAAUGAAAUCAGACGUCUUUCAUUUGAAGACAUCCCAUCCAGUGUUGAGGAGCUGUAUCAGGUGUUGCGAACAAAGCUUGGUCUGAGAGGUGGAUUCAUUUUGCAAUUUGAGGAUCCUGAUUUCAAUAAUCAGUUGUGCAACCUAACAGACAUCAAAGACCUUCCUGUGGGGCGGGCAACUGUGAAACAGCUGAUGACGUCUCUUCUUCUCAUUUUCUCUUCAUUCUACACUGGACACUUGCAGCUUCCCUUCUCUUAGUAGUGGAGAUUCUGUUGAAUGGCCUGACCCCUUCCCGAUUCCACAGUUCUCACAUGAUGUGGAGCUGCAGCUGAAAGAAGCCAAUUGCAGAUCAGGGCGGAGUUCAAGAGAAUCGUCAUCAAAGACCUUCUGGAAUCUUUUCUCAACGGACUUGAUGGCCUGGUCCCAAGACUGCUAGAGGUGUACAAAGCAGCAAUCAAGACUGGAAAGAAGCAAUCACUCAGACAUUUUGGACUGCCUUCAGAAAGAUGAUACAAAUGAGAGAAGGACUGCUACCUUGCUUGGUCUGCCACACUACAUAUCAGGCGAAGAUCCAUCAACUGUCGUGUGACGCUCACACGGAGACUCUGGAUGAAGCCAUGAAGGGGAUGCAACUUGGCCUGCUGAUAGGCUAUGAAGGUGCUGAACGGGAUGCCUUUCCACGGGAGGUCUUCGAGAUAGCUGUUGUGGUUGAAGAGACCAUUGUGCUUCACAACAUUAAAGAUGUGGCAUGCAGCUUUGCCAUGCUCAUGGGUGUCAUCUACUGUGUCAAUCUCGAGUACCCAGAAGCCAUGAAGUAUUCCUUUGAGUUUCUUUAGAGAGUUGUGAUGAAGAUAAAACCAGAUCAAGCAUCUGCCCGAGAACAUGGACUAAGAAACAGAAUCCUGAGGUACAGACUGUAACACCUGCUCCUCAUUUUCUCAAGAUUCUCAUGUGGAAAUGGUUCCUGUCAAGACUUCAUUGUUCUUUUUUUAUAUGCACUUUCAGCACUGUUCUGUACUGUGGAAAAAAACAGCAGUGUCUCGCAAUUUAAAACUGUUAAUUUUGAGAAUGAUAGAGGGGACAAAACACUGAUCUUCCCCACUUCUUUAUUGGACGGAUUGUGAGAGCUGAUAGUCUCGACUGUUUCGAAGUCUUGUGACGUUAGAAGUGGAGUACUUAAGAAAACACAAACCAGCCUCAAAGUUCUUUAUCUUCAAUGGAACAAGACUGUAAUGGACUUGGACAUUUGAGUUUUGUGUUAAUAUUAUUACUACUCAUUAGUCACCAUGUUGUAGAAAUCACAAGCAUUUUACUGAUUACAGCUGAUGGUCUCAACUGUUCUCUCCUCAGACAGAUGUUUUUCUUUAUUACGUUUUUUGAUUGUUAAAUGCAGUUGCAGGCAAAUGGUCUCAAUGUUUAUAUCAUCUCAUUUAAAUGAACUGAUUGGUAUAAGAGUUGGUUGGGUUGACCUUGCUCUUUAUAGGUGACUGUGUUUAAAUACUGUUAGAACAUGUUAAAUUAUCAUAAAUAUGGUCUCACUUUGGCACUUGUGUCGUCUGAGAUAAAUGUUUUCAUUGGCUUUUAGGCUUGUUGCAUCAAUUACAAGUGUAUCUGAAGGAGACGAAGUCUGUGAGUUGAGGUACUUACAAUAAAUUACUUUUGAAUACA